rnacentral:rRNA from 1 species
UACGUAGGGCGCAAGCGUUUGUCCGGAAUUAUUGGGCGUAAAGAGCUCGUAGGCGGCUUGUCACGUCGGGUGUGAAAGCCCCGGGGCUUAACCCCGGGUCUGCAUUCGAUACGGGCUGGCUAGAGUGUGGUAGGGGAGAUCGGAAUUCCUGGUGUAGCGGUGAAAUGCGCAGAUAUCAGGAGGAACACCGGUGGCGAAGGCGGAUCUCUGGGCCAUUACUGACGCUGAGGCACGAAAGCGUGGGGAGCAAACAGG